UACGUAGGGUGCAAGCGUUGUCCGGAAUUAUUGGGCGUAAAGAGCUCGUAGGCGGUCUGUCGCGUCGGAUGUGAAAACCCAGGGCUCAACCCUGGGCCUGCAUUCGAUACGGGCAGACUAGAGUUCGGUAGGGGAGACUGGAAUUCCUGGUGUAGCGGUGAAAUGCGCAGAUAUCAGGAGGAACACCGGUGGCGAAGGCGGGUCUCUGGGCCGAAACUGACACUGAGGGACGAGAGCUAGGGGAGCGAAUGGG
rnacentral:rRNA from 1 species